UACGAAGGGGGCUAGCGUUGCUCGGAAUCACUGGGCGUAAAGCGCACGUAGGCGGCUUUUUAAGUCAGAGGUGAAAUCCUGGAGCUCAACUCCAGAACUGCCUUUGAUACUGAGAGGCUUGAGUCCGGGAGAGGUGAGUGGAACUGCGAGUGUAGAGGUGAAAUUCGUAGAUAUUCGCAAGAACACCAGUGGCGAAGGCGACUCACUGGCCCGGUACUGACGCUGAGGUGCGAAAGCGUGGGGAGCAAACAGG
rnacentral:rRNA from 1 species